rnacentral:rRNA from 1 species
UACCAGCACCCCGAGUGGUCGGGACGUUUUAUUGGGCCUAAAGCAUCCGUAGCCGGUUCUACAAGUCUUCCGUUAAAUCCAGCUGCUUAACAGAUGGGCUGCGGAAGAUACUAUGGAGCUAGGAGGCGGGAGAGGCAAGCGGGUACUCGAUGGGUAGGGGUAAAAAUCCGUUGAUCCAUUGAAGACCACCAGUGGCGAAGGCGGCUUGCCAGAACGCGCUCGACGGUGAGGGUAGUAG